rnacentral:tRNA from 1 species
UCCCUGGCAGUCCAAUGGUUAGGAUUCUAUACUUGCACUGCAGGGGGCAUGGGUUCAAUCCCUGGUCAGGGAA